rnacentral:rRNA from 1 species
UACGUAGGGGGCAAGCGUUGUCCGGAAUCAUUGGGCGUAAAGCGCGCGUAGGCGGCCAGAUAAGUCCGGUGUGAAAGUCACAGGCUCAACCUGUGAAUGCCGCUGGAAACUGUCUGGCUUGAGUCCGGAAGGGGCGAGUGGAAUUCCUGGUGAGCGGUGAAAUGCGUAGAUAUCAGGAGGAACACCUGCGGUGUGAGACGGCUUACGUGGACCAUAACUGACGCUGAGGCACGAAAGCGUGG